rnacentral:rRNA from 1 species
AUUGAACGCUGGCGGCAGGCCUAACACAUGCAAGUCGAGCGAGCGGCGGACGGGUGAGUAAUGUCUGGGAAACUGCCUGAUGGAGGGGGAUAACUACUGGAAACGGUAACUAAUACCGCAUACCAUCAGAUGUUCCCAGAUUGGAUUAGCUAGUAGGUGGGGUAACGGCUCACCUAGGCGACGAUCCCUAGCUGGUCUGAGAGGAUGACCAGCCACACUGGAACUGAGACACGGGCCAGACUCCUACGGGAGGCAGCAGUGGGGAAUAUUGCACAAGGGGCGCAAGCCUGAUGCAGCCAUGCCGGGUGUAUGAAGAAGGCCUUCGUGUUGUAAAGUACUUUCAGCGGGGAGGCGUUACCCGCAGAAGAAGCACCGGCUAACUCCGUGCCAGCCGCCGCGGUAUAC